AAAAAACAAAGCCUGGUUGUCCUGGGUUUCCCUUCUCUUAUAUGAAAUUUUUUUAUAAUUAGUAUUUUUAUUAUUGUUAAAUGAUAAAACAUGAUUAAUACUUUAUACGUGACUUGUCUUUUUAAUUUUUUUCAUAAUUUUUUCAAAUAAGACGGACGGUCAAACGUUGGACAUGGAAACUCAGGGUUUGUCUUUUU
rnacentral:pre_miRNA from 1 species